CCUUGCUUGCAGGUAAGCGGUUAGUGGCGGACUGGUGAGUAACACGUAAGAAAUCUGCCUAUCAGAGGGGAAUAACAGUGAGAAAUCAUUGCUAAUACCGCAUAUGCCAUAGGAAUCGCAUGAUUCUAGUGGGAAAGGAGUAAUCCGCUGAUAGAUGAGCUUGCGUCUGAUUAGCUAGUUGGUGGGGUAAAGGCCUACCAAGGCGACGAUCAGUAGCCGGACUGAGAGGUUGAACGGCCACAUUGGGACUGAGAUACGGCCCAGACUCCUACGGGAGGCAGCAGUCGGGAAUAUUGCGCAAUGGAGGAAACUCUGACGCAGUGACGCCGCGUAUAGGAAGAAGGUUUUCGGAUUGUAAACUAUUGUCCAUAGGGAAGAUAAAAGACUGUACCUAUGAAGAAAGCUCCGGCUAACUACGUGCCAGCAGCCGCGGUAAUACGUAGGGAGCAAGCGUUAUCCGGAAUUAUUGGGUGUAAAGGGUGCGUAGACGGGAUAACAAGUUGGUUGUGAAACCCCUCGGCUCAACUGAGGGACUGCAACCAAAACUAUUAUUCUUGAGUGCAGGAGAGGAAAGUGGAAUUCCUAGUGUAGCGGUGAAAUGCGUAGAUAUUAGGAAGAACACCGGUGGCGAAGGCGACUUUCUGGACUGUAACUGACGUUGAGGCACGAAAGUGUGGGGAGCAAACAGGAUUAGAUACCCUGGUAGUCCACACUGUAAACGAUGGAUACUAGGUGUAGGGGGUAUUAAGCCUUCUGUGCCGUC
rnacentral:rRNA from 1 species